UGUUUAAUGUUAAACUCAGGGCGUGUUCGUCUUCAAUCUGGUUCAGUGGACGCCUAUAAAAUAUUUAGAUUAUGAAUACCCGUGGUGGUCGCAUGUGUUAGGCUGGUUUACAGCGCUAUCCUCCAUGCUCUGCAUACCCGGAUACAUGGUCUAUGCCUGGAUGACUACAUCGGGUGACAAUAGGACGAAAUACAAAUUGUUAAUUAAGAUAGAGGACGACGUCGCGACUCUGCGAACAAAGAUGGGUCAACCACCAGUCGAGCUAACGCCCCUAUAAUUAUUGCUUCGGUAGGCAGCGCAAGCUUGCCUAGUUUGAUAAUACAGUUGUUUCCUGUUAUCCUGUAAAAUUGGUGAAUUACAAGGAAUUGAUAAGAAUUUAUUUUGUAGUCAUAAAUUCCUAAUCUUUAAAAUCGGGGGAAUGAUUUAAAAAAUGUUUAAAUAAAGAUUCUAAAAAUUGUUUUCUUCUGAUUCGUUUGUGAAAUAAAAGUAAGGCCACUUGGAAAUAGAAAUGGGUUGAGAAAUGAUCCAAAUGUUUCCUAAAGUAGGUCUUAAUUUCGACAAUUAGAAACGUAACUUCACAAAAUAGGUUCUUGCUAAUUUCUCUUAAUGCAUCCGCUUUUUGUAGGAUAUCGUGAUAACAGUUACCAUAAAAGAAUGCGCGCGCGACCGCUUGUAGGUCGUCGAGGCUUGGCGUUCUUUCGUUCUUGAAGACACGAUUCGACGCGAAGCGGAGAGCCAGCAAUUAAAUGAACGCCGGAAACGAACGUACCCGACACUGCCCUCGGUUCCCCUCUUCACACCCUCUCGACAAAAAGCUUCGCUGGCUUUGUACAUAAAUUAUUUAUUAUUUGUCAUCGUAACGAUCGCAUAACUCCCGCAGGGUAGGUGACGCGGAAGUUCGCGAACGCUUGUAACAUUCUGGCUAAAUUGCCGGGUUCAUCUUGGGAUCAGACGGAAUAUGCAGAUCUGGUUGCAUCAUCGUGCACCGAAGCUGUUUAAAAUUUACUUUAUUGCAAAUAUAAAAACGGAUUAAUUUAUGUUCUAAAAUCUUUUUUGCACGGAUACUCUCCUUUGAAAAUAUAGUUUUAAGGACCCAAAUUAUACAUGAUUUCUGAUGUGAUAUAAAAAAGUCGCCAAAUUUAUUGCCAGAUUGUCACCGUGUUCGUAAAUACACAUAAUGAGUGACAAUUCAGUCAAUUGCUAUUAGCGAUAAGCGAAAUCGGUGCAAUCGGCUGUUGCUCUCACAUAACAAAUAUCUGAUGAUAUCAUUCAUCAAACUUAUAUCGUGAUAGCCCUACGUACGUCCGCAUUUACACCCGUACUUUCGCAUCAAUUUAACGCUGCAAUUGGCGAACAAAGUGCGGCUACGUCUUUCUUUUCAAAGAUUGUAAUAAAUAUUAAUUUGCGACGAACGUAAGGCAAAGCGUUUCUUCCAUAACAUGUAGCGCAAUCAUCACUAAGUUGUUAUAAAUGAAAAGUACAACAAUGUAGUACUCUUAGACAUAUUAAAUGACGCUGUAUCGCCCAAAUUCUUUGCCAUUUGCGAGUGACUCGUAUUAAUAAUGUAUUGACGUCCCAAACCGCCGCCGUCCGGACGUUUACGACGAACGGAUGGACAGUACGAUUCUAGGAUUGCCCUGUGCGCAUAUUUAUGCUGCCAUAAAUAUUAUAAAUAGGCGCGUUUUAUUAUCGUAUUGCUUUUAUUUAAUAAACUAGUGUUACCUAAUUUAUUUCGUGUACUUGUCGUUAGAUCUGCAGCGUCCGUAGACCAAUAGUAUAAUAGCGAAAUAUGUAAUUAACAUAAAAAGCGACAAAACAUUCGCAGACAUUGCAAUACCAUGAUGAAAUUAUAAAGAUGAUAGACGAAUGAAAUAAAAAAUAUAAUUUUGA